rnacentral:rRNA from 1 species
AAUUUUGGACAAUGGGGGAAACCCUUAUCCAGCCAUCCCGCGUGUAUGAUGAAGGCCUUCGGGUUNUCAAGUACUUUUGGCAGAGANGAAAAGGUAUCUCCUAAUACGAGAUACUGCUGACGGUAUCUGCAGAAUAAGCACCGGCUAACUACGUCCCAGCAGCCGCGGUAAUACGUAGGGUGCAAGCGUUAAUCGGGAUUACUGGUCGUAAAGCGUGUGUAGGCGGUUCGGAAAGAAAGAUGCGAAAUGCCAAGGCUCAACCUUGGAACUGCAUUUUUAACUGCCGAGCUAGAGUAUGUCAGAGGGAGGUAGAAUUCCACGUGUAGCAGUGAAAUGCGUAGAUAUGUGGAGGAAUACCGAUGGAGAUGGCAGCCCCCUGGGAUAAUACUGUCGCUCAGACACGAAAGCGUGGGGAGCAAACAGG